UUGUCUGCCUUAAGUAGGCCUUACUAUUAGAUUUAUCCUCCUCCGACGAAUUCGAGAUAUCCUCUAAAAACUUUUGCGGGCGAAAAUUCAGAGCACUAAUGUUGAGGAGAACUUGUUGAUCUUCAGAAGAUAA